rnacentral:rRNA from 1 species
GAUGAACGCUGACAGAAUGCUUAACACAUGCAAGUCUACUUGAUCCUUCGGGUGAUGGUGGCGGACGGGUGAGUAACGCGUAAAGAACUUGCCCUGCAGUCUGGGACAACAUUUGGAAACGAAUGCUAAUACCGGAUAUUAUGUGAGUUUCGCAUGAAAUUCAUAUGAAAGCUAUAUGCGCUGCAGGAGAGCUUUGCGUCCUAUUAGCUAGUUGGUGAGGUAACGGCUCACCAAGGCGAUGAUAGGUAGCCGGCCUGAGAGGGUGAACGGCCACAAGGGGACUGAGACACGGCCCUUACUCCUACGGGAGGCAGCAGUGGGGAAUAUUGGACAAUGGACCAAAAGUCUGAUCCAGCAAUUCUGUGUGCACGAUGAAGUUUUUCGGAAUGUAAAGUGCUUUCAGUUGGGACGAAGUAAGUGACGGUACCAACAGAAGAAGCGACGGCUAAAUACGUGCCAGCAGCCGCGGUAAUACGUAUGUCGCAAGCGUUAUCCGGAUUUAUUGGGCGUAAAGCGCGUCUAGGCGGUUUGGUAAGUCUGAUGUGAAAAUGCGGGGCUCAACUCCGUAUUGCGUUGGAAACUGCCAAACUAGAGUACUGGAGAGGUAGGCGGAACUACAAGUGUAGAGGUGAAAUUCGUAGAUAUUUGUAGGAAUGCCGAUGGGGAAGCCAGCCUACUGGACAGAUACUGACGCUAAAGCGCGAAAGCGUGGGUAGCAAACAGG